rnacentral:lncRNA from 1 species
AAAGGGAGCUUGAAGUCUAGAGUGGUAGCCAAAAGGAAGGAGAGAAACACCUUGGGAGGUAGCUUUGAUUUGGUUGUAAUUUUUGGCUUUGUAAUCUUUCUUCUUUUUCUUCUAUUGUAACUCAUGGCCUUGUUAGGUAUCUUGGGGGAGUCUUUGGUGCUCAAUCCCAUCUCCUAACAAGAACCUUUAUUUCAUAGUAAAUUUUGUUUUUAGUUGGUUGGUUGGAGGAACCAAAGUUCUUCUAACUUAAUCAUUAGGCCGCAUAACUAGUUUAUUUGCUUUCUUUAAUUGUUUUAGCUUAGUGUGUGUCAACUUUAAUUUCAACUUUAGUUCCAUUUCAGAAAUUUGGUUCAAGAGUGCCUAAGGUAAACUUUGGCUAGGAAAGGCUUGGUAUUUAAGCAAUCCAUUGUGAUUCACCUCCCUUUCCUGGAAGUGAACUUGGGUGUCUUUUGCCUCCUUAAAUCUCUUAAGGAACUUUCUUUGAAAUUUAAGUAUUUGUUUGUUGCAUUGCAUAUUUUUGAAAACCUUUAAGGAUGUCUAAGACUAAUUCCUAUGAUAUUGGAAGUGACUCUAGUAAGGUUGUAAAACCCACUUUGAAAAAUUUAGCAAAAGAGCUAAAGUCACUUAAAAUUUGGCAAAGGCAAGAAACCCUUCUCAAAGAAAAAGAAAGAAAGAGAAGAGUAUCUUACUAAGUUGGAAGAAGAGCUUAAUAUUCUUAAUAAAAAAACAAGAAAAAGUCCAAAAGGAUUUAAGGAAUAUAAAGAGAAGAAGAGAGGAAGACAAAAGAAGGAAGAAAGAACAAAGGGAGAAAGAGGAGCAUGAGAAAAAAGAGAAAUAACAAAGAGAGAGAGGAGCAAGUAAGAACAGAGAAAAAGGAGGAGGAAAGAAAAAGAGAGUACGAAGAGAAAAAGAUAAAAGAAUGGAAUGAGAAAGAAAAGAGAGAAAAAUAAGAGAUUGAGAUAAAAGAAGAGGAGGAAGAGUUACUAAAGCACCCUACCACUCCCACAAUUAAGGUUGAGACUAAGAUGAUGAGGGGAGUUUUCCAAUCCUUAAAAUUUUCUCAAUACAUCCAACCAUCAUUCAUAACUCCAUUUUUUACUUUUGAAAUUUCAACUUCUUUUUCACCUCCCACUAUUUUUAACUCCUCAAAUUUUUCCAAAUCAAACUUUGAGUUGAUG